rnacentral:rRNA from 1 species
GACGAACGCUGGCGGCGUGCCUAAUACAUGCAAGUCGAGCGCAGGAAAUCGACGGAACCCUUCGGGGGGAAGUCGACGGAAUGAGCGGCGGACGGGUGAGUAACACGUAAAGAACCUGCCCUCAGGUCUGGGAUAACCACGAGAAAUCGGGGCUAAUACCGGAUGGGUCAUCGGACCGCAUGGUCCGAGGAUGAGAGGCGCUCCGGCGCCGCCUGGGGAUGGCUUUGCGGUGCAUUAGCUAGUUGGGGGGGUAAUGGCCCACCAAGGCGACGAUGCAUAGCCGACCUGGGAGGGUGAUCGGCCACAGUGGGACUGAGACACGGCCCAGACUCCUACGGGAGGCAGCAGUAGGGAAUCUUCCACAAUGGACGAAAGUCUGAUGGAGCAACGCCGCGUGAACGAUGAAGGCCUUCGGGUCGUAAAGUUCUGUUGUAAGGGAAGAACAAGUGCCGCAGGCAAUGGCGGCACCUUGACGGUACCUUGCGAGAAAGCCACGGCUAACUACGUGCCAGCCGCCGCGGUAAAAC